UACGAAGGGGGCUAGCGUUGUUCGGAAUCACUGGGCGUAAAGCGCGCGUAGGCGGAACUGUAAGUCAGAGGUGAAAGCCCAGGGCCUAACCCUGGAAUUGCCUUUGAAACUACAGUUCUAGAGUCUCGGAGGGGGUAGCGGAAUUCCUAAUGUAGGGGUGAAAUCCGUAGAUAUUAGGAGGAACACCGGUGGCGAAGGCGGCUACCUGGACGAGAACUGACGCUGAGGUGCGAAAGCGUGGGUAGCAAACAGG
rnacentral:rRNA from 1 species